UACGAAGGGGGCUAGCGUUGCUCGGAAUGACUGGGCGUAAAGGGCGCGUAGGCGGACCUGCAAGUCGGGGGUGAAAGCCCGAGGCUCAACCUCGGAACUGCCUUCGAUACUGCGGGUCUCGAGUCCGGGAGAGGUGAGUGGAAUUCCUAGUGUAGAGGUGAAAUUCGUAGAUAUUAGGAAGAACACCAGUGGCGAAGGCGGCUCACUGGCCCGGUACUGACGCUGAGGCGCGAAAGCGUGGGGAGCAAACAGG
rnacentral:rRNA from 1 species